AUGGCUCAGACGAACGCUGGCGGCAUGGAUUAGGCAUGCAAGUCGAACGGGCGCAGCAAUGCGUCAGUGGCGAAAGGGUGAGGAACACGUGAGUAACUGCCCCCAAGUUCGGAAUAGCUUUGGGAAACUGAAGAUAAUACCGGAUGUGGUUGUUCUGCUGCAUGGCAGAGCAACUAAAGGUUUACCGCUUGGGGAUAGGCUCGCGUCCCAUUAGCUAGUUGGUGAGGCAACGGCUCACCAAGGCGACGAUGGGUAGCUGGUCUGAGAGGAUGGUCAGCCACACUGGGACUGAGACACUGCCCAGACUCCUACGGGAGGCUGCAGUCGAGAAUCUUCCGCAAUGCGCGAAAGCGUGACGGAAGCAAUGCCGCGUGCCGGAUGAAGGUCUUCGGAUUGUAAACGGCUGUCGACCGGGACGAACCAAUGACGGUACCGGUAGAGGAAGCCACGGCUAACUACGUGCCAGCAGCUGC
rnacentral:rRNA from 1 species